GGAACGGCUGCUCCAGCUUAAGCAAAGGGUUCAGCUCUGUCUCUGCUGCCUUCUCCUCAGCCCUCCUCGCCCAGCUGGAAAAGGAGAUUUGGAUAUUUCAUUCUUGAGAUCAACACCUCAAGCCUCAACAUUGAAGAUAUCUAAAAACAGCAGAUGAAUUUCUUAUUGUAGCAGCUGAAGCAGAAUGAAUUAAGUAUGGUGCCAAGGGUUGUCAGCUGUGGGUGAUAACGUCUGCAUUCAGAAAGCACUGACUCUGCCUUUGCACAUGAAGAGUGGUCUCAGGAGCAUGCUCCAGCACUGCAGCCCUGCUGCCCUGCGACCUGCUGUCCCCACAGCUGUGUCAGCUGUGCCCAUGAGGAGCCUGGUCGCUUGGAUCUGUGAGAAUGGAGCUGCUCAACUCUUUGAAGUUGUGGGUGCAUAUUCACCCAUAUCCAGAAUUCAGAUAUUCAAAACAUCACAGUUUUAGAUCUACCCAAAACUGGACUUCAGGGGAGUGACUCACCAAGAGAUUUUGAGGUGCACUGACUGAUUUAGACAGUUCUGUAGUUGGGCACUGACCUCCUGCGUCUUUGUGAUGAAAAUAGUGAAAUUUGAUCUUCUUCUGCACUGCACUGCUCCACCUUCUUAGUUUUUAUUAAACUUUUAUUCAAACAGAAUGCUUUAAGUAUGUGGAUCUUGA